GACGAACGCUGGCGGCGUGCUUAACACAUGCAAGUCGAACGGAAAGGCCCUGCUUUUGUGGGGUGCUCGAGUGGCGAACGGGUGAGUAACACGUGAGUAACCUGCCCUUGACUUUGGGAUAACUUCAGGAAACUGGGGCUAAUACCGGAUAGGAGCUCCUGCUGCAUGGUGGGGGUUGGAAAGUUUCGGCGGUUGGGGAUGGACUCGCGGCUUAUCAGCUUGUUGGUGGGGUAGUGGCUUACCAAGGCUUUGACGGGUAGCCGGCCUGAGAGGGUGACCGGCAACAGGGGGAAGGAGAAACGGCCCGGACGCAGACGGGAGGAAGAGGGGGGGAAUAGGGAAAAAGGGGGGGAGGCUGGAAGCAGCAACGCCGGGGGGGGGAGGAGGGCCUGCGGGUGUAAAACAGCUUGCGCCGGGGACGAAGGGGGAGGGAGGGUAGGGGAAAAAGAAAAACCGACAAACUACGGC
rnacentral:rRNA from 1 species